rnacentral:misc_RNA from 1 species
UCUCCGUUGGUGAACCAGCGGAGGGAUCAUUACCGAGUUUACAACUCCCAAACCCCUAUGUGGACGUUACCAAACUGUUGCCUCGGCGGGAAAGUCAUGCCCCGGGCGCGUCGCAGCCCCGGACCAAGGCGCCCGCCGGAGGACCAACCAAAGCUCUUUUGUAUGUCCCUCGCGGACUUUUAUAAUUCUGAACCAUCUCGGCGCGCCUAGCGGGCGUUUCGAAAAUGAAUCAAAACUUUCAACAACGGAUCUCUUGGUUCUG